GUGGCGGACGGGUGAGUAACGCGUAGGUAUCUAUCCAUGGGUGGGGGAUAACUCUGGGAAACUGGGGCUAAUACCGCAUGACACCUGAGGGUCAAAGGCGCGAGUCGCCUGUGGAGGAGCCUGCGUUCGAUUAGCUAGUUGGUGGGGUAAUUGCCUACCAAGGCGAUGAUCGAUAGCUGGUCUGAGAGGAUGAUCAGCCACACUGGGACUGAGACACGGCCCAGACUCCUACGGGAGGCAGCAGUGGGGAAUAUUGGACAAUGGGCGCAAGCCUGAUCCAGCAAUGCCGCGUGUGUGAAGAAGGUCUUCGGAUUGUAAAGCACUUUCGACGGGGACGAUGAUGACGGUACCCGUAGAAGAAGCCCCGGCUAACUUCGUGCCAGCAGCCGCGGUAAUACGAAGGGGGCUAGCGUUGCUCGGAAUGACUGGGCGUAAAGGGCGCGUAGGCGGUUUGGACAGUCAGAUGUGAAAUUCCUGGGCUUAACCUGGGGGCUGCAUUUGAUACGUCAGGACUAGAGUGUGAGAGAGGGUUGUGGAAUUCCCAGUGUAGAGGUGAAAUUCGUAGAUAUUGGGAAGAACAUAGAGGUCGA
rnacentral:rRNA from 1 species